GGGGGGGGGGGGGGGGGGGGGGGGGGGGGGCGGGGCGGGGGGGGGGGCGCGGCGUGGGGGGGGUGCUCGGGGGGCGAACGGGGGAGUAACACGUGGGUAACCUGCCCUUGACUUUGGGAUAACUUCAGGAGACUGGGGCUAAUACCGGAUAGGAGCUCCUGCGGCAUGGUGGGGGUUGGAAAGUUUCGGCGGUUGGGGAUGGACUCGCGGCUUAUCAGCUUGUUGGUGGGGUAGUGGCUUACCAAGGCUUUGACGGGUAGCCGGCCUGAGAGGGUGACCGGCCACAUUGGGACUGAGAUACGGCCCAGACUCCUACGGGAGGCAGCAGUGGGGAAUAUUGCACAAUGGGCGGAAGCCUAAUGCAGCAACGCCGCGUGCGGGAUGACGGCCUUCGGGUUGUAAACCGCUUUCGCCUGUGACGAAGCGUGAGUGACGGUAAUGGGUAAAGAAGCACCGGCUAACUACGUG
rnacentral:rRNA from 1 species